rnacentral:rRNA from 1 species
CUACGUGCCAGCAGCCGCGGUAAUACGUAGGGCGCGAGCGUUGUCCGGAAUUAUUGGGCGUAAAGAGCUUGUAGGCGGUUGGUCGCGUCUGCUGUGAAAGGCUGGGGCUUAACCCUGGUUUUGCAGUGGGUACGGGCUAACUAGAGUGCAGUAGGGGAGACUGGAAUUCCUGGUGUAGCGGUGGAAUGCGCAGAUAUCAGGAGGAACACCGAUGGCGAAGGCAGGUCUCUGGGCUGUAACUGACGCUGAGAAGCGAAAGCAUGGGGAGCGAACAGGAUUAGAUACCCUGGUAGUCCAUGCCGUAAACGUUAGGCACUAGGUGUGGGGGACAUUCCACGUUUUCCGCGCCGUAGCUAACGCAUUAAGUGCCCCGCCCGGGGAGUACGGCCGCAAGGCUAAAACUCAAAGAAAUUGACGGGGGCCCGCACAAGCGGCGGAGCAUGCGGAUUAAUUCGAUGCAACGCGAAG